rnacentral:lncRNA from 1 species
UGGAGCAGGUACCAUGUGAUUCCAGGGAGCGCCUCGUGCCCCAGUGACACACUUUUCCAGCAGCCGGCACGUUGAGAUCUGUGCGCCUGCGCACCGCCAGGAUUGUUGGGAUUUGUAGUCUACUGACAAUGUAGGUGGAGUGUGCCUAUUCCUUUUCUGCUUUGCAAAAGUGCUUGCUGGCAGCGGGGAGGAGCUGAAAGUGGACUGGGGUGGGGUUUUCUGAAGAGUCAGGGUGGCGUGUUUGGAAAGCCUUGUAUGGCAAGGGCAUGUGAAUUCCUGGGGAGGGCCUGGCAAGCUUUACUGCUCCGUGGAAGAUCAAAGCUAAAAGGCCCUUUCUGCAAACCUAGCAAACGUGAGAGCUUCACGUGAUUGGAGAACUGACCUCACCCUGAGGAAGCUCCAGAGAGUUCUGGGAAUCCUGGGAAGCAAGCUACCUUGGAGUCAGAGAAAAGCAUACGGGGAAACUGAGCCAGGAGGACCACUUUGAGCUCAGUGAUUUGAGACUUAAACAACAUGAGACCCUCAAAGCUGGAAUUAGGGGUACCAAGGAGAAAGAAAGCUGAAUGUUAAGGUCAAUGAUCUUGACCGGGUUAACCACUGAUCAUCUGAAGGAGUCGGUGUGACAGCCAGCCUUUCUAGGUCUCCAGCGCCUCCUCAACACGGACUAGCAAAGGGACUUCCCCUUACAAUCCAUUGGCCCCACAGACCCCCGCUGCAAACACAUUCUUAGCAUCCUGUCCCC